rfam:Nematostella vectensis strain CH2 x CH6 NEMVEscaffold_2536_Cont42200, whole genome shotgun sequence.
GCACUGGUGGUUCAGUGGUAGAAUUCUCGCCUGCCACGCGGGAGACCCGUGUUCGAUUCCCGGCCAGUGCA